GUACUAACAACCAAAUAAAGCAUUUUAUUGUUUUAAUUCUGUACACUACGUUUUAUUUCCUCAUUUAGAAAACGCCUUAGAUACUAAAGUCACGUCGCAUGUAACUUAAUAUUAACCUGCCAACAUACUAUUUUUUUCCUAUACAGGCGCAUUAAUCACUGAAAUUUAAUGUAGCCCAGGAAAGGAGAACAAUCCUUUUGAAAGUAUGGGCCAAGUAUGUGGUCAACACCAUACCCACAUUGCUAACGCCACCGAUGACACGAUUAAAAUUAUUUUGUCUGAUAACAACUAUAGAGAGACGACGCAAGUAAUCCACGCCAAAGAUUACGUCAAGAUCCCUACGGUGCAUGGGUCCGUUACCGUGAGCGUAUUUCUUAGCAAUGGAAAGGGAGGUUUUGCAGAAUAUGCUAAUGCCAGUUAUACGAAUGAAUCUAACAGAAAUUUUAUUGUGAAGGAAUACAUUGUUGGUCACGUCAAUAUUGUUAGAGCAACGUUUGGAACAGUAUGGAAAGAACAUAUUGGUUUACAAAUAACACCCGUUCAGCAGUUCUUUCAGAUAUGAACGCGUCAUGAUAAUUCUUUUCCAGAGUAUUUUCAAUAUUAAUCAAGUUAUGUAUUAAAAUAUUUACCAUGAGUUAAAUGGGAAAAAAAAGUGUACGAAAUAUUUCCUGUAAAAGAAUCUUAAUACAAAAUUAUAGCAUCUCAAAUCUUGAAAAUGGGAAAUCUUAAACAAAUAAUUAAAAUACAAUUUUCUGGAAGUUGCAUAUUUUGCGUAUUAAUGACUAGAAUUUGGAAUAAUUCCGUUUAUCUAAACUGUAA